rnacentral:rRNA from 1 species
GACGAACGCUGGCGGCGUGCUUAACACAUGCAAGUCGAACGGAAAGGCCCUGCCUUUGUGGGGUGCUCGAGUGGCGAACGGGUGAGUAACACGUGAGUAACCUGCCCUUGACUUUGGGAUAACUUCAGGAAACUGGGGCUAAUACCGGAUAGGAGCUCCUGCUGCAUGGUGGGGGUUGGAAAGUUUCGGCGGUUGGGGAUGGACUCGCGGCUUAUCAGCUUGUUGGUGGGGUAGUGGCUUACCAAGGCUUUGACGGGUAGCCGGCCUGAGAGGGUGACCGGCCACAUUGGGACUGAGAGACGGCCCAGACGCCUACGGGAGGCAGCAGUGGGGAAUAUUGCACAAUGGGCGGGAGCCGGAUGCAGCAACGCCGCGUGCGGGAUGACGGCCUUCGGGUUGUAAACCGCUUUCGCCUGUGACGAAGCGUGAGUGACGGUAAUGGGUAAAGAAGCACCGGCUAACUACGUG